rnacentral:rRNA from 1 species
UACGUAGGGGGCAAGCGUUGUCCGGAAUCAUUGGGCGUAAAGCGCGUGUAGGCGGCUCGAUAAGUCUGCUGUGAAAGUCCAGGGCUCAACCCUGGGAUGCCGGUGGAUACUGUCGAGCUCGAGUCCGGAAGAGGCGAGUGGAAUUCCUGGUGUAGCGGUGAAAUGCGCAGAUAUCAGGAGGAACACCAAUGGCGAAGGCAGCUCGCUGGGACGUGACUGACGCUGAGACGCGAAAGCGUGGGGAGCGAACGGG